ACACACACACACACACACACACAGGACUGCAGCCGGCUGUGUGUGAUCUGAGCAGGUCCGGUCUCUGUGAGCUGCAGUCUGACCCAGGUCUCUUUGGGUAUCGGUGUGGUCAGUGGAUAACCUGAGCAGGUAAUUCUCCAGUUUCUCUGUUGUUCUUUCGGACACUGGGAGGACUGAGCUCCGGGAGACAUGAGCGCUGCACGCAGAGAGGAGGCAGCCGAGACCUCAGGGCCCGCGGAGCAAAAGAGGAGACCCGGGAGACCCAGGUCCCACAAGGAUCCCAGUGGAGAUCCCCUCCCAAAGAGACAGAGGGGCCGUCCCAAAGGAAGCAAGAACAAGGGACCACCCAAGGCAGCAACCAAGAUGUCUGAGGCGAGCGCGGAGAAGAGACCACGAGGACGACCCAGGAAGUG